rnacentral:rRNA from 1 species
AACGAACGCUGGCGGCAUGCCUAACACAUGCAAGUCGAACGAGACCUUCGGGUCUAGUGGCGCACGGGUGCGUAACGCGUGGGAAUCUGCCCCUUGGUUCGGAAUAACACAGAGAAAUUUGUGCUAAUACCGGAUGAUGACGAAAGUCCAAAGAUUUAUCGCCAAGGGAUGAGCCCGCGUAAGAUUAGGUAGUUGGUGGGGUAAAGGCCUACCAAGCCGACGAUCUUUAGCUGGUCUGAGAGGAUGAUCAGCCACACUGGGACUGAGACACGGCCCAGACUCCUACGGGAGGCAGCAGUGGGGAAUAUUGGACAAUGGGCGAAAGCCUGAUCCAGCAAUGCCGCGUGAGUGAUGAAGGCCCUCGGGUCGUAAAGCUCUUUUACCAGGGAUGAUAAUGACAGUACCUGGAGAAUAAGCUCCGGCUAACUCCGUGCCAGCCGCCGCAGUAAAAC